rnacentral:rRNA from 1 species
GAUGAACGCUGGCGGCGUGCCUAAUACAUGCAAGUCGAACGAGGUGCUUUUGUAGCAAUACGAGAGUAUCCUAGUGGCGAACGGGUGAGUAACGCGUUGGUGACCUACCCCAAAGUGUGGGAUAACAGUCCGAAAGGAUUGCUAAUACCGCAUGUGGUCUUCGGAUUUAGAAACUGAUGACUAAAGGAGCAAUUCGAUUUGGGAGGGACCUGCGUCCCAUCAGCUAGUUGGUGAGGUAAUGGCUCACCAAGGCUACGACGGGUAGGGGACCUGAGAGGGUGACCCCCCACAAUGGAACUGAAACACGGUCCAUACACCUACGGGUGGCAGCAGUAGGGAAUAUUGCACAAUGGGCGAAAGCCUGAUGCAGCAACGCCGCGUGUGCGAUGAUGGCCUUCGGGUCGUAAAGCACUUUUCUGGGAGAUGAGCAAGGACAGUAUCUCAGGAAUAAGUCUCGGCUAACUACGUGCCAGCCGCCGCCGUAAAAC